GCACACUUGGCGGAGUGGUUUAACGCGCUGGAUUUAAGUUCCAGUAUCGAAAGAUGCGUGGGUUCGAACCCCACAGUGUGCA